UUUAUGACAGUGACUAAGAUCUCCCCAUGAGAAAUAUAUCUAUGUUCAAAGACUAAAGAUAUGAUGUUUCCAAAAAGACAUAUCUAUGUUCAAAGACUAAGUAUGAUGUUUCCAGAAAAGUUAUAUUUAUGAUUUAAGAUCAAAGUAUGAAGUUACAUAAUAGCUCCAUGUAUGUUCAAAGUUACAGAUUUCAAGUAUUACAAAAAGCAUUUCCACAUAAAGCAUUUACAGUUACAUUUGCUUAUGAUAUUCAGGGCUCGUUUGGUGUGAGGAAUAAUACCAAAUAGUCCCGGGAUUAAAUUAUAGUACUGCUUAUUUUGUUGUUUGGUUGGCAAGUUCGGGAUAACUUAUCCCGGGAUUAAUAAUUAGUACCGGGAUAAGUUAUCCCUCUCCUUGGGUGGUAUAGUAAUCCCGAGAUAACUUAUCC
rnacentral:lncRNA from 1 species